rnacentral:rRNA from 1 species
UACAGAGGUCUCAAGCGUUGUUCGGAUUCAUUGGGCGUAAAGGGUGUGUAGGUGGCGCCGUAAGUCGGGUGUGAAAUUUCGGAGCUUAACUCCGAAACUGCAUUCGAUACUGCGGUGCUUGAGGACUGGAGAGGAGACUGGAAUUCAUGGUGUAGCGGUGAAAUGCGCAGAUAUCAGGAAGAACACCCGUGGCGAAGGCGGCUCUCUGGGACGGUACUGACGCUGAGACGCGAAAGCGUGGGGAGCGAACAGG